rnacentral:rRNA from 1 species
UACGUAGGGGGCAAGCGUUGUCCGGAAUUAUUGGGCGUAAAGAGCGUGUAGGCGGCCCGGCAAGUCCGCCGUGAAAGUCCAGGGCUCAACCCUGGAAUGCCGGUGGAAACUGUCGGGCUUGAGUUCGGAAGAGGCGAGUGGAAUUCCUGGUGUAGCGGUGAAAUGCGCAGAUAUCAGGAGGAACACCAAUGGCGAAGGCAGCUCGCUGGGACGACACUGACGCUGGAGACGCGAAAGCGUGGGGAGCAAACAGG